CCCGGGCCUUGUACACACCGCCCGUCACGUCACGAAAGUCGGUUGUACCGGAAGUCGGUGCGCUAACCCUCGGGAACGCAGCCGCCCAUGGUAUCGUUCGGCGAUUGGGGUG
rnacentral:rRNA from 1 species